rnacentral:rRNA from 1 species
UACGAAGGGGGCUAGCGUUGUUCGGAUUUACUGGGCGUAAAGGGCGCGUAGGCGGUCAGCACAAGUCAGUUGUGAAAUCUCCGAGCUUAACUCGGAAAGGUCAACUGAUACUGUGCGACUAGAGUGCGGAAGGGGCAACUGGAAUUCUUGGUGUAGCGGUGAAAUGCGUAGAUAUCAAGAGGAACACCUGCGGCGAAGGCGGGUUGCUGGGCCGACACUGACGCUGAGGCGCGAAAGCUAGGGGAGCGAACGGG